rnacentral:rRNA from 1 species
UCCCGGCGGUCCAAGUCGCAUCCACAUCUAUUGGGUCUAAAACAUCCGUAGCUUGUUAUGUAAGUCUCUUGUGAAAUCUGAGAUCUCAAAUUUCAGGCGUGCAAGAGAUACUACACAACUAGAGACCGGAAGACGCAAAGAGUACGAUCAAGGUAGUGGUAAAAUAUGUUAAGCUUGAUCGGACUAACAAUGGCGAAGGCACUUUGCGAGUACGGAUCUGACAGUGAGGGAUGAAGGCUAGGGGCGCAAAAGG